GAUGAACGCUGGCGGAGUGCCUAAUACAUGCAAGUCGAGCGGCAGCACGAGUAGUUUACUACUUGGUGGCGAGCGGCGGACGGCUGAGUAACGCGUGAGAACGUGCCCCAAAGUGAGGAAUAACCGCCCGAAAGGGUGGCUAAUACCGCAUAUGGUCUUCGGAUUAAAGGAUUUAUCCGCUUUGGGAAUGGCCUGCGUACGAUUAGAUAGUUGGUGGGGUAAUGGCCUACCAAGUCUACGAUCGUUAACUGGUUUGAGAGGAUGAUCAGUCAGACUGGAACUGAGACACGGUCCAGACUCCUACGGGAGGCAGCAGUGAGGAAUCUUCCACAAUGGGCGAAAGCCUGAUGGAGCAACGCCGCGUGCAGGAUGAAGGCCUUCGGGUUGUAAACUGCUUUUAUAAGUGAAGAAUAUGACGGUAACUUAUGAAUAAGCACCGGCUAACUACGUGCCAGCCGCCGCCGUAA
rnacentral:rRNA from 1 species